GGUGAUUAACUCCAUUAAAUGUUUAAAUGCUUAAGUUGGUUAAUAAAUUAUUGGGAAGAACAGCCAAGUUUUUGGUAUCUUUCUAUAGUGACAUUUCAAUGUGUUGGGCAAUUUGCCUUUUGAGUCUUAAUCUGUGUGUGAGAUUUUCUGCAAGCCAGUAUUUUUAGUCAUGGUUUUGCCUUGUCAAUUACGUUGUUAGUGUCUUGUAUAUAUUGUGAAAGGCUGAUGACACUAACUUUUCCAGGGUAGAGGACUGUCCAGGGUGGAGAUAAUGCUAUCUGUAGGUAUCUUUUAUCAUUAUUACUGUAGAUACUGAAUUAAACCAGGUCCUUCUGCUUGCUGAGCACACCUUGUGACACUUAAUCCACACCUCUGAUCCCUUUCUUUUUAGUGUUACUUGUUGGGGAAAACCUUGUGGAAGACCUUAGCUGGGCUGAUGAUGAGCUGGGUGUUAUGAGCAUGAAUGAAAUGAGGCUCGAAAUGAUUACUCUGAGGUCCAGCCUAAGUGUCGAUUUAAUUUUGGAGGACACAGGUGUGUGUCAAUUUGACAAGGUUUUUCUCAUCAGUACCUUAAGGGGAGUGGAGCUAUAGAUUUUUUCAGUACAGCAAAGUUGGAUGUAGAUUAGUAAAGGUUCCUUUCAUAGUGUCUCUUCUGCACUGAUAAUAUUGACAGAUCUCACCUUUGUUUUUCCCCUGUGCAUUUCAAAUAAAUGAUAAAUUCAAGAGAGGAAAAACCACAAGCAUUCAUGCAUUUUCCUCACGAUAUUAACAUCACCCAGAUUGAGCCUUCUAGGAAUUUCAUGAACAUAUUCCUGGGCACUGUGAGGCAACCUCCCCAUUUUUAUCACAUUAAAAGAGAAAUUGCUAGUUUAUUGGUAAGAUAUGCUUUGAUCUACAGAUAAGACAAUAUUUUGAGCAGAAUUAUAGUUAUAUUCUAAUUCUUCUCUUGAUGACUUAAUGAUAUUUUGUAUUCUAAUCAGACAUGGACUCUAGUACAGUUAAAGAGGUUAAUUGGCAUCUUGCAAUAUCAAUGCUAAGCCCAAGAGAUGAAAUAACUUACUAAAUACCAAGAAGUUUGAAUCAUGUCUCUCAUUGCAUAUUGUAAUAUUUACUUUUGCUUGAAUGAGUGAUAUCUUUUUGUUAUCUAGGCUAAGUGUUCUGCAAUUAGAUACUCAAAUAGUUAAUUUAGAUAAAGCUUGUUUAAAAGGUAUGCUUUGGACAGUUUAUCUCUGACUUCCUGUACUAAGGAUCGAAACUAGGUCCUUAGCACUGUACUAUAUCCCUAACUCUUUACUUUUCUUUCUUUCUAUCAUCCAUCCAUCUAUCUGUCUAUCUAUCUAUCUGUCAUCUAUCGAUAUCACUUCUCAGCCUUUUGGCUAAGAUCAAGUGUAUUUAUUUAUUUGCUUGCCUGGUUAUUUAUAAAUGUAUGUAUGUAUGUAUGUAUGUAUGUAUGCAUGUAUGUAUGUAUUUUGAGACAGAGCCCCGCUAAGUUAACCCAGGGUUGCCUCAGCUUGGUUGUGAUCCUCCUGCUUCUGCCUCCCAGAGUGCUGGGAUUACAGUUGUUACCUGCAAGCCCUGCUGACAAUUGUAUAUAUUAAGGUCUUACUCUCAGGUAGAUAUCUUAGUGCACAUGAAUGUUAUAUGUGUUUAAGUAUGUGACUACUAAUAAAUGAUGGUGUUAAUAUUGUGAUAAUGACAAGUGACUAGACUGUCAUGAAAACCUGUUGGGGUUCAGAGAAAACAUUCAUUUAAAAGGUACAUGACUCUUUCUAGUUUGUUACUUUCUUGAAUCCUUGUUUUGUUGCAAGAAAUAUUUGUAGUCUCCUGUGAUUGUUUGGUCUAUCUUAGUGUUCCUGAUGUUAGAAUAUCUUUGUUUAAUUUUUUUUUUUAGGGACAGGGUCUCACUAUGCAGUUCAGGCUGGGCUUGAUCUGGCUGGGCUUGAUCCGCCUGUCUCAGCCUCCUGAGUUCUGAGCGAUAAGGCAUGUGCCGCCCCCCCAGCUUCACUGUUUAAGUUGAGAGAAGUGAGCCACCCUUCCUGCUAACCUGGUUACAUUAGAAGUGUGCAACUAUGUAAGAAAGGAGUGAGUAUAGUGCCUGUUGAGUUGUAGUGUUGACAUGAAUUCUUUGGCUUUAGGAUGUUUGUUGCAAUCUAGAGAGAACCAUUGAUAGUUGUUGCUUUGCAUACUACUUUGCGUUGUAAUUCAUUCUGUGUCUGUCUGUCUCUUUAUUUCACGGUCAUGCUAUGUACUCCACAUUGCAAACCUCCUGCCUCAGCCUUCUAAGUGCUAAGAUUAAAAUGUAUACCACAAUAUCCAGCUGGUAAUUCUUCUUUAAAGAUGACUUGACUAUAAAGUCCGCAUAAAUAAGAAUCUUUGAGGAGACAGGGAAUUGCUAGCUUGAUGCUGGGACUCAGUAUUUCUUGGACCUGAUGGUAACAUACAUCUUUAGAAAGGGAAUAGUUGAUCAAGUGAAAUUAAUUUGUGAUAGAAAUAAUUUGCUGGGAGGAAUGGAAAGCAUGAGAAAUAGAUUGCUGGAUGAGUUGAUAAGAGGAAGAAAAGAGGGAAAGAAUCCAAGUUUAAUACAGUUGAAUAUGCCCUUAAGUUGGUUGAAGUGAGAUAUGUUGAGAGUAAUGCCAGGAGUUAGCGAUGAGAAAACUUGUACUAUUUGUAUUUUGGAACAUUUGGGGGUCAGUUGAAUCAGAAUUAGAUUUGCAUCCAAUUUUUUUCCUUCAUGGUAUAAGUCUUAGUUAUCUUCUCUUUAUUUUUAAUUUUAAUUUUAUUAUUGCACGUUUGGAAUACAAAAUGAUUACUUUAUUGUCAGGCGUUGGUAAAUGUACAUAACACAUCUUAAAUCACCUUUUUCUAUCUCAGCUUCUGUGCCCCAAUGUAGUGUUACAUCUUGUGUUCAGAUUGUUGUGAUUAGCAAAUCAUUCUGACCAAAUAUCAGUUUCUGCUCUACUUACUAGGAUGGGUAAAGAGCUAUACAUUUCUAGGGAGCUUUCAUUGAAUUGGUGGUUCUCAGAUUUUAAAGUAUAUCCGAAUCACAUGGAAGGCAUGUAAAAACACAUUCUGCUUAGCCCUGAUCUGAAGAGUACAUUUGGGUGUUACUAGUAGGUUGAGGAUUGUCUUGAUCGUUUUGAACGGAAAUCACAAAAAGUCAAAGUCCAACUGUCUAGUGUUAGCACCUCUUGAGUUCUGUGUGUCAACAGCUCUCAGCGUUUUGUGAUAGCACUGUGGGUUCUGAGUUCUAGUUACUCUCAGUUGCUAGUGUUAACAGCUAUUGCAGCCAUAUGUGGCAGAUGUCCCACCAAGAACCAGAGUUAGUAGUUUUCUACAACUCGCCCAGCAGUUCUUUGCAGCUCUUAGCUCUUUAGCAGCUGUCCAGCUCCUAGUUUUCAGUUUGAAAGGCCUUGCUAAAUAAGGUGUUCUUACUGCAUGCAGAGCAAUCUGUUCAAUUUGAAAUAGGAACUUUUUUUUUUUUUGGUUCUGGGGAUUGAACUCGUGGGUCCUUGUGCUUGCCCAGCAGGUGGCGAAACCACUGAGCUAAAUCCCUGGCCCCUGAAAUAGGAACUUUGAAUAGGCAAAGUGAAGCCAUGUGACCGAGGCUUCAUUUGAGCUUAUGUUAUAGCAUACAGAAGUUGAGGAAUGCUUGGGAUGGAGAUUUCCAGAAAUGUCUUGAUGGAGUGAGAAGAGUACUGCUCAUUUAGAAAAAGGGGUGGGUCAGCUCAUGUGCAUGGGAACAUCUGAUGCAGGUGCUUGGUGGGUGGCAGCUGUGAGGAACAGUCAUCUGGGGCAGCUAUGGCCUGACGUACAGUCUCCUGGAGCAUUUUAAGAAGUAGUGUCACCGUGACAGCUGUGGUGAUUGUUGAGGUAGAAGAGGGUUCAGCUGGAUUGAGGCCUCUGAAGCAGUAUUCCCCAUCAUGAAGCUGGCUGGAACUGUUUGUGGCAUCCAUAGAAAUGCAGUAGAAACGUGUUUGCUCUGUCAGUCAACUGCCAAAGCAAUGGCUCUGAAGUCCUGCCCAGGGUCACAGUAGGGCACCAGGAACCAUGACAGUGAUGGGUCACAGUUUGGCACAGAGCCAGUGCCAUGACAGCAGGUGGGCCCCAACUUGGCCCAGAUGUCUGCCCUACCUUUUGCAUUCCAUGGCUGUGGCUGACAGCCUCGAGUGACUUGGACAAGAAUUUUUGAGGGACAGCCAGUUCAUUCACUCUUGGCUCCUGUGAACCACACAGCUCUGGCUUUUCUGUGUAAGUACUGUGUGCUAACCAAUUGCACCACUGGAGUUCCUCCUUUGGCUUUUCUGAAACGGGAAUGGAAAUGUUUUGUGUUAAGGAAGUCUGUUUUCUAGGAGGCUCUAUUGUGACAUUUUAUCUAUGGAAAAUAAAAAUCUUGAUUAUUAAGAGAAAACAAGAUUGAGUAUAAAGCCAACUUCUCCAUAAACUCAAUCCAGGAUUAAUGUUUAACCAACACUCUUAUUGGAGAAAAGGAAAAAAAGAAUAAAAGUGUCCCUUGGGAAAAUAUCAGCCCUUUCUAUUCUGUGUCAUAGACACAAAGAGUUUACUGUUAACAAAGUGCCAGGUGCUCGUGUUCCCAGGUACAACACAGAGUGAUUAUAUUCAGGGUGGAACAUUCUUUUUGUGAUUUACUUUAUGUGGAAAUGGACAGCAAAAUGAAAUAUCUUCUUAUAGCAUAUUUAUAAAUCUGAAAACGACCCUUGAAGUCUCAAAGAAAUCUGUCUUUACUCACUGAGGAAACCAAAUUUAAAAAAUAGUUUUCCUAACAGUGACUCAACUACCAAAUCUAGGUUCAAGUUUUACUCAAUUUGACUUAAUUCAAACAUUUUAAAAUUAAGCGUAACUAAACCACUUUGAAUGAAUAACUUCCAAAAUUCCAGAAAUUAAUAAAUUUAUAAGAAAUUUUUUUCUUAAUACAUUAUACACCUGUAUUUCUUUCAUACAAUACUAUCAUGGAAUUUUUCCCUCACUUUAAGAAACUGUCAUGUAAUCAUUUAUGGUAAACAUUUUUAUAAUUUGAUACAUGUGUAUGAUGUAUAAUGGAUAGAUCAGAAUAAUUAGGAUCUCUCACCUAAUUGGUGUUGGGAUCCUUGGAGAGUCUCUCUUCUAGUUCUUUACUAAAUAUAUAAACUUGAGACAUUCUAUUUUAACUGUAGAACAUGAGCAAUUAUUCCUCCUAUCUAUCUGUGUUCUGUUGUUAUCCAGCCUCCCUGCAUCUUACGACCGAUCUGUAUGCUUUUACCAGCCUAUAUUGACCUCUGUUCUAUUCUGUAUUUUUAUGAAGUAAGUUUCACAUAUGAAUGAGAAUAUGCAAUAUUUCUCUUUACUUCAUCUUGACAGAAUGUACAGAUUCAUCUGUGUUGCCAUGGGAUUUUAUUCUUAUGGGUGCAUAAUAUUCCUUUGUCUAUAAAUACUCCUUUCCCGAUAUCCUUUCUGUUGAUGAAUACCUCAUUUGAUCCCAUCUCUUGGCUAAUUUAAAUAGUGCUAUAAUAAACAUGAGAUUACAGGUAUCUCCCCCCACCCCAUACAGGGGAUUGAACUCAGGACAUUGUGAGACAGGCACAGUGGCCCUGAGCUAAAUUCCCUGCCCUGUUCAAUAUGAUUUCAGUGCUGUUGUUUUUUUUUUUUUUCUUUUUUUGGUACCAGGGAUCGAACUCAGGACCUUGCCCUUUCAAGGCAGGCACCGGCACCGGCACCCCUGAGCUAAAUCCCCAGCCCUCAGUGCUGUUUUUUAAUAGUUUAGAAACUGGGAAUACUGUUAAAAAUUCAUUACCUGUACUUAGAAACUUUGUAAAAUUAGCCACUAUUACUGAGAAUUCUGGAGAUUUGGAGAUGUUGAAAAAUAUGUGCCUAUCUGCUCAAGUCAGCUAUUUCUGAUGAUGCAGCUGCUGAGCAACAAACCAGAACUUCAAAGAAGACCUUCUUUGACAUGAGACUGAAGAAAAUAAAAAAAUCAAAGAGAGGGUUAAAAAAAAAGUAUACCUUAUGAUUUUGCUAAGAAUGUGUUAGUGGAAUUAUUUUUAAGUGGUCAUUGUACCUUUUAUAUUAAUUUGUAUUUUCUAAUGUGCAACCUUUUCUAGUGAGCUUGGCUGAACACUUGAUUUAAAUUUAAAUUAGACUGGGUGAUUUAUCUACUGAGGGUAGAGUGGACCUAAGUGAUGUCAAGGUUGCAACAACAAAUCUGUGCAUUAGAAAUUUUUGAAGCAACAGUGAUACCUACGUAAAAACCUUAUUGAAUAAAGAGUUUCAUUUGGUUGAGAUAAUUACAUGCAAAAUAUGGUUUGAAAGGCUGAAUUUUAUGACACUCUUCUAUACGAGGAGAAGAAAAACAUUAAAGGAUCACCGAAUACCUUGGUGUCCUUUCUUACUGCUCUUAUUUCCAAAGUCCUGCAUAAUAAUUAAAACCUAGUACGUUCUUGAUGAAUAGUUAGUAUUUCUAUUAAUAUAUUGCAUUCAAAAUUAGUGAUACAGUCGGGUGUGAUUACUCUUGUAAUCCCAGCACUUGGGAGGCUGAGGCAGGAGGAUUGCUGCAAGUUCGAGGCCAGCCUCAGCUACACAGGAGAUCAAGGUCAGCUUGAACUGCAUAGUUAGAUCUCGUCUCAAAAACCAAAAAACAAGGCCGGGGACUUAGCUCAGUGGUUCCACAGCCUUCCUCACAAGUGCAAGGUCCUUAAUCUGAUCCCCAGUACCAAAAAAAAAAAAACCCCAAAAAACAAAAUUAGUGGUACAGUUGAUAAUAUGAGUGAAUAUCACGUACAAGAAAUUUCACCUCUAGUAAUGAAGAAAGUAAGUUUGGCCUCCAUUUUCACCCUUGAUUUUUUUUAACUCCUUAGUUUUUAUGCCAAAAACCAUGUCCAUUUUAUUGUACUGUACUUGAAACAUGGGGGAAAUGAAUUUGCUUCAAACUAAAGUUACAAAUUUUAUAAAUUACAGGUAACUACAAAACAUUGGCAGGUUUUGCUGGUGUUCUGUGGAAAGGGAAAAUAAAAGGAAUCUUUUAAGGUUGUAGGCUAUAUUGGUUGCCCCAUUUGCUUCAGCCUAGCUCACUGGAGAAUAAACCUAGGUCAGAAAAACAAGAACGUAUAUUCACUUGAACUUUGUGCUAAAUUCUUAGAUAUUAAGGGAGUGCUGCUAUUGGAAUGGGUAAGAGAGUAACUGUGUAAGAGCAAGUUAAGAUGCAUUGAGCAUUCUUUGAGCUGUAAAAUAUUUGGUUAAUCAUUGUUGUGAUUACUGUAAUGAAUAUAUGACAUAACUAUGAUCCACAUCUCAAUUAAAAGACAUUGAAAAAUUAAAAGUGGAAAAAAGAUGAACAGAUAAUUAAAAAACAUCCCGAAUUAAUAAUGUGAAAUACCAUGGACUCAUUUACAUUCAUAAACACUUACUUUAAAUACAGUAUUUUGCUGUGAAUUUUGAAGGGAUUUAGAAAGAUGACAGCUAAGAGACAAGGAACUGCCUCUCAUCCUUGGCCUGUAAUGGAGCCUAAAAGAAGAUUGGUAUGGAUUUUUCUUCUGGAAAUGUCAGGCAUGCUUCAUACUUCAGCAUGUGACAGUUCUCCCACCAUGUCUCCAGCUGAAAGAUUGGUCAUCUAUAAACUAUAUUUUCAAACUUUCAACCAGUUCCCUUGCUUUUAGCUUCAGGUACUUUAAUUCAUGCACAUUAUAGAACAGCUUUUAAGAAGAUGACAAACAUCAUCAUGUUCUCUUCACAAGUGUGCAGUAAGUGUGUGUUAAUAAAAUAGAAGACAAAAAUCACAUACUGGUAAUAUAUUUAGAGCAUCUUUUGUGAAAGGAAAGUCUGGAUGUAUUCCACAUCGAGGCACUGGACAUUUGGAUCCACUCAUUUUGUUGCAUGCCCUCAGUCUAAUCCUUUGGUCCUUAAGAUCUCCAGAAAUCUGAACAGAUACAGGAAACAUUGAUUACAAACCAAGAGAAUUUAGGGAAGAUUUGUAACCAGUUGUCACCUAGAGCCACAUCCUGAGUGACUGCCACAUAAUUGAUAAAAGUGUAUUUUGUAAACUUCUCUGGAACUUUUAGAGUGCCUUUUCUUUCUGCACUGUUGGGCAUGUCUAAAGUUUGUUCCGGCCACAUCAGGACUGCACAAAUGCAAACAUCCUCCCAAAACUGCACCUUAAAACAUAGCUUGGAAAGUACAUCUGAAGUAUUUAUUGGUUUAAUGAGUCAGAAAAUUUGUGCUAAUCAGUACAAACUCAAAGAGAUGAAACAGUUCUGCAAAAAUAUGUGGGUACAAAAGGAAAACAUGUCUUGAAUUCAACUAAAAGCUUCAUUAACAGGGCCUCAUUUAUAAAAUAGAUCAAUAUUGCUCUAAAAUUCUUGCCACCUUUUAAUUAUUUCCAUUUCAUGGAGUAAGCUUUGGAUUUGACAGGAGAAAAACCAAGAAUAUUGGAUUUUAAUGCUAUGGGUUGUCUAGUUGCCCUUUGUAAGAUUUAGAACAAAAGCCUUGUAUAUGUGACAUUGGUAUGCAUAUGCAAAAUUAUUUUCAUGCUAAAAUUAUAAAAUAUCUCUAGACAUUUAUGUUGUAUUAGUUUUUGUCAUAAUUAGUUUAUUUAAAUAUGUGAGAAUUUACAUCUUGGUCUUUAGGUAGAAAUAUAAGAUUUCAUUGAUGUAUGUGAAUUUUUUAUUGAACUGUGUAACAGUAAGAAAAUGAAAUUGUACUUUUAUUUUAUUCAUUUAUUUUUACCUGCUUAAUCUUUCCAGAAAGCAAAUUAGCGAAACCUACUGUCUCUAGAUUUUCAAAAUCAAUAUAUGAAGAUUGUUGCUGUGCAAAAUGGCUAGUUUUCUAGGGAAUUUUAUAAAAACAUCUUGAGUAAAAAUUGGGUUCUGAAAUAGAUUUUAUAAGGGAAUUCAAGUUUGUAUUCAUUUUUUGAAUAAGAAAGGGCAAUACAGUGGGACACCAGAAGCAUUUCGUUUGGUAAUCUGAAGAAAGGCCUUAAGACAUUUGAGAAUCCAUCCUAAUGUAUAUAGAAAAUGUGAAUACAUGGUUAUAGAAAUAGAAUAUUUCUGAAUGCCGUACAUUGAAAAUAUCUUUGUUGUAGUAUUGCUAUUUCUUUUUCGGGGUACUUUUAAGUGUACAAUUGUUAAAAAAGAAAUUUUAUUAAGGCAGUAUAUACACAUAAUUUGAUUGUCUAAGAAUUUUACAUUCAAAGAUUUUCUUUUCGGGAUAAAAUUUCAGAAGACACCAACUUGUAUGAAAAAAUACCAUGCUCAGGAUCAAGUGGGCCUCAGGGUUAAUUGUUCUGUAUAUGUUAGGCAGAAAGACUGGGAGUAAAUCUUACCCUGAAAAUAAUUGCUGUUAUGGUGUGCUUGAGGGCUGAUUCACUUAUUAAAUUAUGACUUUUUUGAUUGCUCAGUGGAAUUCAAAACUACUUUGCAUUAAACAAAGGUAGAGUUCAGAAGUCUGGGCCUGUGAGCAGAUACUGUUUUUGCAUUGGUUCUUGGUUUAGUUCCUGUGAAGAGGUUGGGAUACACAUGUAGUUUAUGGAUAUUGUAUCAUUCAGUUACGUGAAUUCCCUUUGCUGUUGUGAUAGAAAAACUUGCCAUUGAAUAGUAACUCCUUAAAUAACCUAAAAAAUUAAUUCACACCACUGAUGUCAUACUUUUUCUAUAAAAAUGUUAUAAAAUUAAAAUUUUUAGUAUAAUUGGUUAUAUAGAGUGGUUUAUAAUUGUACAUAACUGUAAAACUGUUAAGAACCAGUAGUUUUUUCUGAAAGCAAAAUGUUCCUUGGAUCAUUGGGCUUAAUUUUUAGGUUUUAGUAUAUAUUGUAGGAAUAUAUGUGGAAGUACUACAUACCCAUCUAAAUAUAGGUGUAUAAAAUCUAUCUACAUAUUUCUUAUAAUAAAAUGUUAUAUUUCUGGCACAUAGCACAGGAUGGAAAUGUCAUCCCCCACCCUUUUUUUUUGAGACGGGAUCUCACUAUGUAGUUCAGACUGGUAUAGAAUUCACUGUGUAUCCCAAGCUGGACUCCAACACAUUUAGAUCCUCCUGCCUCAGCCUCUGGAGCACUGGUAUUGGCAUGCACCACCAAGGCCAGCUGUUUCAAAAUUUUUUGUAGUUUCUAGAUGUGCUUUAUAUAUAUAAGUAGACAUAGUUCUUUGUAUGAUAGUAAAAUCUCCACAUUUUCUACUAGGAUAGCCUGGAAAAAUUUCCAUCUGUCAGUAUCGUUUGACUUUCAAUAAAUGAAUUAUUUAUUUAAAAUACUUAUAUUUUUAGAGGAUGCUGUCAGUGGUUUAUUAAACUUGAGAUCAUGGAUUGCUCACUGGGAUACAUAAUGCUCAGGCCGCAAAACCACUGAGCUAAAUCCCUGGCCCUCAUUUGGUUUGUAUAAAGGAUUUUCUUCACCUGCUAGUGGUAUGCAAGUAUAACAAUUGUGGACUGUUAAGAAUUUUGUGUUAAGUGACUGUAUUUUGGUUAAAAUAUUAAGCUGUUUUAUAAAAAAAUUUUCUUAUUUUUUGUAAGAACCUGGAUUUAAUAUUUAGUUUUGAGCUUACAUGUUUGGGAUUUGUAUAUACAGUAUGCUGUCAUAUUAUGGAGAAAGACAAUGGUUUCUUUAUAACAACUUUUGACUUGCAUGUAAACUUGUGUUAUAAUUAUGAAAUGGUGUCCAUUUUACUUAAAAAUAACACGUACUUACAUAAUAGAUGAUGUAAAACUUCUCUAGACUUAAGGUUUAUAAUGCCAUCGAUUUUUCUUAGUGGGUAUCUCUAAAUUAAUGUUCCGUGUUCAACUGCUGCAUGACAAAAACCAAUACAACUUUGUGAGGAACAGGCAAAAGUUAUUUAAAAUUUUUUAAUUUAACAUCUAGAAUUUCUGGAUGUAUUGAGUAUAAUUUUAUAAAUAUGCUGCUUGUCAUACCAUUGUCUUUUGCAAUUAAUAUGGCAUUUAAAUGUACCAUUCAUAGAUGGACUUGGAACCAAUAUGGUGGCACAGGCCCCUGAUUCCAGCACUCAGGAGGCUGAGCCAGGAAGAGCUGAGCCUGAGCAACUUAACAAAACCCAGUCUCAAAAUAAAAAGUAAAAAAAGGGUUGGGGAUGUAGCCUAGUCCAAAGGCCCUUGGUGUUAACUCCUCAGUAGUGCCCCAAAGAGAAACAGACACAUGGAGAUUUACAAAAUUUAUCAUUGACUACUUUGAGUGUUAGAAGAGAAAAUAACAAGGCAGUAUGCAUUUACCCCAUUCCCAUGGAGGAGUAGUUUGCCAUUGUGUCAGUCAUGAAUUACAUUUUACAACUACAAAAUGACAAGUAAAAUCAUUUGGCUUUCAUGGAUGUUUGGGGUUCGCUUACAUAUAUUUUUAUUUGUUUCCUUUGCAGUUAACCUUUAAGAUACAAAUAAUUAUAUUAAAGCAAUUUUGUACUACCUCUUGGAACUAUACAAAGUUCUGUAUGUGUUCCCUUAGUUGCAUGACAAUGUUCAAGACAACUUUGUAAAUAGUCAAAAAAUAAUUUUAACGUCUAGUUUUUCUAGAUGAAGGCUCUCACGAAGUAUAAUUUUGUAAAUGUCAUCAUACAUUUUUAUUUUUCAUUUUAUAAUUUUUUGAAAUUUGUUAACAAUGGGUUAUUUCAGCUCUAUGUACCUUGUUUAUUUUUUGGGUUGGUCAGGGGAAGGAAAAAUUUAAAAUUGUAUUUUCAGCUUUAAAUUGUCAUCUAAGAGAAAGGCUUUCCUUAUUUUCAUUCUUACACAUUAAAACCCCAGAUCAUUAUUUUGUAUAAUUUGUUGAUUGGGUAUUGCAUAGACAUUUUUAUAAUCAUUACAGGAAAUGUCAUACAUUUCUUUCUACCUCUUUGAAUCAGUAUAAUCUAUUUGAACUGCGUAACCACAUUCAAGACAAACUUGUAAAUAACAUCUAGAUUUUCUAGAUGCAUGGGACUCAACAAGGCAUAAAUUUGUAAAUACUUCAUUAUAAAAUGUAGUUAAAAUUACUUGUUAAUGCUUUUUAAAUUUUGUACUUAUUAUUUUAAAAUUGUAACAUUUUGAUGCUUUGGGUUUUGGGGAGGUUGAUAGAUCAUCUGACUGAUAGGGUUUAUUGUAUAUGAGAGAUAACCACUAGUCAUUGUAUAUAUUAUGUUCUUAAAAACAGUGGGAUGUAUUUUUAUCUUUAGAAAGAAGAUAAAAGAAUGGAAUUGUUCUUUUAAAAUCAGAUUCAAAGAGGGGGCUGGGGAUUUAGCUGAGUGGUUCUGGCGCCUGCCUUGCAAGUGCAAGGACCCGAGUUCAAUCCCUGGUACCAAAAACCAAAAACCAAAGAGGAUUGCUAAAAUCAUUAUUAACUUUGCUGUGGUGUAAUUAACCUUUAAAAAUUUGUUUUCAUGUAUUUGCAUUUUGAAUUACAUUCAUGUGGAUAUUAGAAGUCAUGAAGAUGAGGUAUGGUCUUUUAAGAGUACUAAGCCUGGUCCGGGGAUUUAGCUCAGUGGUUUUGCCGCCUGCUGUGCAAGCGCAAGCACCCAAGUUUGAUCCCCAGAACCAAAACCAAACAAACGAAAAAGAGUACUAAGCCUAUUCUGGGUUAUUGCUUUUCAUUUUUAUUUUAUUUUUAUUUUACAAAUUCUAUAAUACUACUUUUUUUAGCUUGCAGAUAUUUCUAAAUCACACAUACUAUCAUCUAAAUGUAUGGUAGCAGUAGCAUAAAGACCAUAACUUUAUUUUCAAGUUUGUUUAUACACUUCUAAGGAUAAAAUAACUGUGGUUAUAAGUGUGUGUGUGUGUGUGUGUGUUUUCUGUGUUGAUCAAAGUAUAAGUCAGAGUAUCUUUCAAACAGUAAUUUGGCAAAGACCGUCACUGUAAGAGUAUAUACAGUUUAUGAAAUGUAAUAAUUGGCUACUGGAAUAUUACUGAAUUUCUAAAAAGUUUACUAGAAAGAAAACUUUCUAUGUUUAGCAAAUAUCUGAACUAUUCAUCAGUGAAAGAAGUCCUACAGACUAGAAUAUUCAACAUGAAUGUAAUUCAAAUACUGAAAUAUCCUUUCAGUACUAGUGUAUCAUGCGGCAUUAAGAAUUGAACAAGCAUCAACUUUCUGUUCAGAGCUAUAUCCAUAAGCUUCUAGUUUUUAACUGAAAUGUUAAUAGUUUCAAAAGUUAGUUAUAUAUGUAGGUAAUGACAUUCUGACAUUUAAAUACUAUUUCUUGGUAUUACAGUGUUGGUAUUUUCUUUCCCAGAAUUUUAUAUGUGAGUUAAACAGCAAAACAAGUAUAUAAAUUUGCAAAUUACUACAUGACAUCUUGAGUGAAUAUAUAUGUGGAUGUGAAAUUGUAUGGAAGAAUAUGUCAGAGUCUUAACACUUAUGUUGAACAAGGAGCGAUGUUACUGUCUGCAUUUCAGUUCUUAUAAGGCUUUUCUAAAUGAUGUUUUAAAGAACCCAAGAAAUGUUAAAGAGACAGUUUGUCUCUAUUUUCUCAUCAUUUUUUAUCAACACUGGGGAAGGUUUGAGUUGUGACGUCCAACUUUGUACUCAUAGUGGACUUUAUAAUUGACUUUUGAAUGGUUUCCUGAAGACUGCAACUUAAGACAAUUGUGCAGCAGUCUUACAGUGAAACGAAGAAUAUUGGAUUACAUAAGGAAAGAAGGGACAAGAUGGAGUUUCAGGUGAGUACUGAACAAGUAUACAGAUGAGGUAAAAUAUUAAUUGAAAAGUUCUGUACAGAAUAAACAUUGAGUUAAAAGGUCCUAAUUGUGGAUACUGACUAAACAAAUACAUUGUUGGAAGUUUCAUUUGAGAUAAAUUGAAAAUUACCCCCACUUCUUUCCAUGCUGAGGAUUGAACGCAUACAUGAUAAGUUUAUGUUCCACUAUUGAGCUACAUUUCUAGCCUCCUUAAUUUUUAUAUAAAUGGAUAAUAGAUGUUUUGCUUCAUUUACUGUAGUUAAUUCUGUCUGAAGAUUUCAAGUAGGCUUUUUUUUUUUUUGGUACCAGGGAUCAAACUCUGGUCCUUGCGCUUGCGCAGCAGGUGGCAAACCACAGCUAAAACCCUGGCCCUCAAGUAGGCCUUUUAAGGUUACUUAUUAACAGUUAUUAGGAAAAACACAUCAAUAUUUUUAUCAUUUGUUCCAAAAAUGUGAUUUAAAAAGUGUGUGGAAAGUAUGUGGAUAUCCAUAUUUUUUAAUCGAAUCUUUACCAUUUAUUGUUCCCAAGCAGCCCAUUUUUUUCCUAACUUACAUAUCUUGAUGCUAGAUUUUAUAAAUCAUUGCUCUGUUGCAUUCUGUAUUUCUCAGGAGAGGAAGAUGAGAGACAUUUGAAGCUAAACUGACUAAAGCUGAUGACAUCCUCAGCGAUAUUGCUCAUCCGUGCCCCUCAUUUUAUAAAUCUUAACUACGAACCCAUAGGUGAUUACUGAAAAAGAACCUACACCAUUUCUUCUACCAGCCAUGUCUUCAAAACUAAAAUAGAGCCUUCCUAGUGCUCAGAAACGUCUCAGGUUAACAAAUAUGCCAUUGAAGAUCAUUGCUGCACAGAAACAUUGGACUCAAGUCUACUUUUUCUAAGAACUAAAAGAUGGCUUUGCAGACAAUAUGUACUAGUCAUAAGAAUGGUUGAGUUUUUUUUUUGUCGAUGAUGGACUAAUUCUUAGGGGCUGGAAUGGUGACUCCGUUACUACAGAAGAAGUCCAGUGUGGUGGAACUACAAGGGCUUCAUCGCAGUGCUUCCAUAAGUAUGCAAUGCAUGUGUUUAUUUUGACUUUUCACAGGACACAUUUGAAAUUAAGUUAUACUUUUUUUUUUUUUUGGUACCGGGGAUUGAACUUGGGUCCUUGCACUUGCGCAGCAGGCGAUGAAACCACUGAGCUAAAUCCCUGGCCCAGUUAUACUUUCUUUGUAAAGAAUUUAAGGAAAAGGGAGUUUUCAAAACUAGUUUUUACUUAAAUGAUAUUUUUCCUUCUAAUUUUAAUCUUCAGUAUUAUCUGCCAUUAAUGGUAUUUUGUCACCAAGGUUUUGGCAUUUUUUCAUAAGUAAAAUAAUACAAAUUUAUUUUUUGCUUGGUUCUUUUACAGAGGGUCUCACUGUAUAGUUGAGGCUGGCCUUGAACUCACUGUGUAGCCCAGGCUGGCCUCAAACUUGUAGCAAUCCUCCUGCCUCAGCCUCUGGAGUGCUGGCAUUAUAGGCAUAGAUCACCAUGCCUGGCCUUCAAAAUUUAUUUUAAUAUAUUAGCUGUAACUUUUCUAUGUGGUAAAUAUGCUUAUGUAAAUUUGAAUUUUUCAGCUGCAUUGGAAUUGUCGAUUACAGUCACCGCUGAAAACUGUAUGCAAAAUCUAUAUUUGAGUAAAUUUCCUCUUAAUUGGAGUAAGUGCUUCAGUGUUGAAAUCAGUUCCUCAUUUCCGAAAACUGAACAUUAGAUAACAAUAUGUGCUAAUAAUUGAUAAUGUAAUAUGAGUGGUUUUUCUUAAUGUUAAUCUUUCUCAUCUUUAUACAUCGUACUGUUGAGCCAUCUCAUCUUUGUAUAACAUUACUGUUCCUUUGUGUUAAUUUGGUUAUGUUUCUUUCAUUUCACUUUGUAAUAACGUAAGAGUCUGUUCCUAAUUCCUAAGAGAUGAUGGAUGAUUCCAUAUGUAAAGAUUUUUUUCAUGCAUUGCCAUUGUGAAAAUACUUGGUGUUUCUUAUUUACUUUGUUUUAUUUUUUUGGUUAUGUUUUAAAAUACAGUCAUGUUUUGUUUUAUCA